AUUUUUUUAAUGAACGAGCGUGUGGUGGCUCAAGGGGGCUUAGCUGAGGCCACCUGACGGGUCGCUGGUUGCGGAUAGCGAACGGCCUACCUUCGUAGGUAGGGCAGCUGCGAAUAAUCAGGCAUCCCAAAGAAUCUCAUUACAGUUGCCUCUGAGGGAAAGUACCGAAAUAAGCAGUCCAGGACAGCCAGCGGGUGUUCGCGCAGAAUCAACAUUGACGAUGCGCUUGUGGUGCUGCCUCUUAUAAGUACUCACACCCUUCACAAUAAUAAUACAAACAAAAAAUCCAAACGAGAAGGGACGUGUGAGACGCUUCUUACGCGUCACAACUUGUAUACCCGGUAAUCAGACCUUAGCUGUUUUAUUUCUGAAUUUUAUUCAUCUGUCAUCUACAUCUACAUAACUUCUCACGCCAAUACGCUUUAUUAGCUCGCCCCCCUCCCCUAGAGCCACAUUCUACACGAAGCAGAGUGUAAAUGCGAGAAUGAGCAAAAUUACAAAAAAAGCCUGCGGGACGGGGUGGGUUUGGCCACUGCAAAUUAAUUUCUUCAUUUUGGCUAUAAUAAUUAUCCAAUCGGAUCCCAAUCGGAUCGGAAUUCGGUGAUCUGAU
rnacentral:lncRNA from 1 species